GAAUGACUCUCGGCAACGGAUAUCUCGGCUCACGCAUCGAUGAAGAACGUAGCAAAAUGCGAUACUUGGUGUGAAUUGCAGAAUCCCGUGAACCAUCGAGUUUUUGAACGCAAGUUGCGCCCGAAGCCAUCCGGUUGAGGGCAUGCCUGCCUGGGCGUCACG
rnacentral:rRNA from 1 species